AUCCAGCUGACGUGUUCCAAAUAGGACGAGACAAGCGUGUUGGAU
rnacentral:hammerhead_ribozyme from 1 species